AGAUCUCAAUAAACUAAGGUAUUUAACAGUCUCCUCUUCUUUCCUCCUUGCUUCACUGUUCGUUCGUUUUCCCAAAAUUGGAGAAGAAGAUUUAAUGGCGCUUCCUCCUGGACCUUACUCCGGAAAGAGUACCUUUGCUUUGGUAGCUCGCGCUUCCGCCUUCUCUUUUGGUCUCGUUUAUGGAAGUAUCAAGCUCAAGUUCGUGAAGGCUAAGGCCAAGUCACAAAAGAAAGCUGAGGCAAAGGCAAAGGCACAUCACUGAAAGAAAAGAUGUCUGAAUUAUAAUAAUGCACUAAGGCAACACCUCUAGAGGGUGUUGUAAGAGAUAAGUGACCAAUUCAUUAAUUCUUUUAAAAAACAUUAUUUUAUAGAUUUGUGUUACUAACUCCAGAUGUUAGGAGAGCACUUUAUUUUCCUUUUAAAAUUUUUGGAAUUCAUUGAAUAGUUGUUUAAGUGAUCUCAUUUAGUUCUUGCAAUAAAAAACUCAUUGAGUAGACUUUGUUUUUUUUCCUGAUC